rnacentral:rRNA from 1 species
AGAGCCUACCAUGGUGGUAACGGGUAACGGGGUGUUAGGGCACGACACCGGAGAGGGAGCCUGAGAAACGGCUACCACAUCCAAGGAUGGCAGCAGGCGCGCAAAUUACCCAAUCCCAACACGGGGAGGUAGUGACAAUAAAUAACAAUACGGGGUUCUUUAGGAUCUCGUAAUUGGAAUGAGUACAAUUUAAAUCUCUUAACGAGGAACAAUUGGAGGGCAAGUCUGGUGCCAGCAGCCGCGGUAAUUCCAGCUCCAAUAGCGUAUAUUAAAGUUGUUGCAGUUAAAAAGCUCGUAGUUGAAUUUCGGGGUUAGUAGGUUGGUCAUGCCUCUGGUAUGUACUGGUCUCACUGAUUCCUCCUUCCUGAUGAUCCGUAAUGCCAUUAAUUUGGUGUUGCGGGGAAUUUGGACUGUUACUUUGAAAAAAUUAGAGUGUUUAAAGCAAGCUAACGCUUGAAUACAUUAGCAUGGAAUAAUGAAAUAGGACGUUCGAUCCUAUUUUGUUGGUUUCUAGGAUUGACGUAAUGAUUAAUAGGGAUAGUUGGGGGCAUUAGUAUUCAAUUGUCAGAGGUGAAAUUCUUGGAUUUAUUGAAGACUAACUACUGCGAAAGCAUUUGCCAAGGAUGUUUUCAUUAAUCAAGAACGAAAGUUAGGGGAUCGAAGACGAUCAGAUACCGUCGUAGUCUUAACCAUAAACUAUGCCGACUAGGGAUCGGAUGAUGUUAAUUUUUUAAUGACUCAUUCGGCGCCUUACGGGAAACCAA